rnacentral:rRNA from 1 species
AAACCUGAGAGUCUGAUCCUGGCUCAGAGCGAACGCUGGCGGCAGGCUUAACACAUGCAAGUCGAACGAGAAGCCGGGCUUCGGCCCGGUGGACAGUGGCGCACGGGUGAGUAACGCGUGGGAACCUGCCCAUGAGUGGGGAAAAACGGUUGGAAACGACCGCUAAUUCCGCAUACGCCCUACGGGGGAAAGGCUUCGGCCGCUCAUGGAUGGGCCCGCGUCCGAUUAGCUUGUUGGUGAGGUAAUGGCUCACCAAGGCGACGAUCGGUAGCUGGUCUGAGAGGACGAUCAGCCACAUUGGGACUGAGACACGGCCCAGACUCCUACGGGAGGCAGCAGUGGGGAAUAUUGGACAAUGGGCGAAAGCCUGAUCCAGCCAUGCCGCGUGUGUGAAGAAGGUCUUCGGAUUGUAAAGCACUUUAAGUUGGGAGGAAGGGUUGUAGAUUAAUACUCUGCAAUUUUGACGUUACCGACAGAAUAAGCACCGGCUAACUCUGUGCCAGCAGCCGCGGUAAUACAGAGGGUGCA